CUGUACUACAUGUUGCACUCGUCGUGAUGCUUAUGUUAGUACAAACCCGGUAACAAAUAAAGGCAACAGUAGUAUACCGCUGUUCGAAAUUCAUAAAUUGAUAGAGAAAAAACAAAUCCGGGUUACAAGUCUUAUUCCGUUGGUCACAUUCAGGAAAAGGGGACGGCAAUGUAGUAACGACAUUAGAAACAUAUACAUCAUCAUCUGUGAAAUGGAUAUUCCAUAAGAGUCAACCGACCAGUAAAAGUGUCCGUAAAAUUACGAAGGGGUGAUUUCCACCUCACCGCUUGGAACUCUUGGUUUAAUAGCUGCCUUAUGAGCAGCAACCAUUAUCUAGGAAAUCAUGAUAGGAAAUACAAUCUCAGGAAUUUCGUAUCACUUGGGAGAAAUAUAUUUCGCAUACAUGGUUAAAAAAUUUGGAUUUAAACAGAC
rnacentral:lncRNA from 1 species